ACAUGCUUACAAUAAAGCAUUAUGCACUGAAUCCCAUUAGAACUCGACAUUUAAGCGUGCUUGAGCUAGAGUAGUAUUGGGUGGGUGACCAUCCAGGAAGUACUAGUGUUUUACAUGCC
rnacentral:rRNA from 1 species